rnacentral:lncRNA from 10 species
AUCUCAAUAAAAAUGUCAGUAGAAGGCCGAGUGCUGUGGCUCACACCUGUAAUCCCAGCACUUUGGGAGGCCGAGGAGGGCAGACCACUCAAGAGUUCGAGACCAGCCUGGCCAGCCUGGCAAAAUCCUGUCUCUACUAAAAAUACAAAAAAAAGUUAGCUGAACUUUAAAUAGAAAACCAUCCAUGAAGGCUUCACCAGAG